rnacentral:rRNA from 1 species
AUAAGUUACAAAGGGCGUACAGUGGAUGCCUAGGCACCGAAAGACGAAGAAGGACGCGACUACCUGCGAAAAGCUGCGGCGAGUUGGACGUAAACUUUGACCCGCAGAUGUCCGAAUGGGGAAACCCGAUAUGCUAACUACAUAUCAUACGAGCGGUGAAUACAUAGCCGCCGUAAGGCAACCCAGGGAAUUGAAACAUCUUAGUACCUGGAGGAAAAGAAAGAGAAUCGAUUCCGUCAGUAGCGGCGAGCGAAAGCGGAAGAGCCCAAACCAAGAAAUUGGGGUUCGGGGUUACAAAGAAUCAUGACGAAGAAGAAGAAGUGUUUGGAAUGGCACAUCUAAGAGGGUGAAAAUCCCGUAUUCGUAAGAGAGUCAUGGUCGUAACUACCAGAGUAGGGCGGGGCACGUGAAACCCUGUCUGAAUGAGCGGAGACCACUCCGUAAGGCUAAAUACUCUUCGGUGACCGAUAGUGAACCAGUACCGUGAGGGAAAGGUGAAAAGAACCCCGGGAGGGGAGUGAAAAGAAUCUGAAACUGUAUGCUUACAAGAUGUCAGAGACCGUUAAAGGUUGAUGACGUGCCUAUUGAAGAAUGAGCCGGCGAGUUAUGUAUACAUGCGAGGUUAAGGAGAAGAUCCGGAGCCGUAGCGAAAGCGAGUCUGAAUAGGGCGUUCAGUAUGUGUAUGUAGACCCGAAACCCGACGAUCUAGCCAUGAUCAAGAUGAAGUAAGGGUCAAACCUUAUGGAGGUCUGAACCGACGUUCGUUGAAACGACCGCGGAUGAAUUGUGGCUCGUGGUGAAAUUCCAAUCGAGUCGGGUAAUAGCUGGUUCUCCUCGAAAUAGCUUUAGGGCUAGCCUCAGAACACUACAUUUUGGAGGUAGAGCACUGAAUGAAAGCGAGCCGCGCCAAGCGGUAUCAAUUUCAAUCAAACUCCGAAUUCCGAGAUGCUUAUUCUGGGAGUCAGACUGUGGGAGAUAAGUUUCAUGGUCAAAAGGGCAACAGCCCGGACCGCCAACUAAGGUCCCUAAAUUCGCGCUAAGUGUUAAAGGAUGUAGAGAUACUUAAACAGCUAGGAUGUUGGCUCAGAGGCAGCCAUCAUUUAAAGAAUGCGUAACAGCUCACUAGUCAAGUGUCUCCGCGCCGAAAAUUUACCGGGGCUAAGCGCGAUACCGAAGUUGCGGAUAUUUCUAAAGAAAUGUGGUAGGGGAGCGUUCCAUUAGCAUAGAAGCCAUACCGGAAGGAGUGGUGGAGCGAAUGGAAGUGAGAAUGCCGGCGUAAGUAACGAUAAGAGGUGAGAAUCCUCUUCACCAUUUGACUAAGGUUUCCUGGGCUAGGUUCGUCCACCCAGGGUCAGUCGGGACCUAAGACGAGGCCGAAAGGCGUAGCCGAUGGACAGCAGGUUAAUAUUCCUGAACCCGGUUGUGUGCGAUCGCAGUGACGAAAGCGGUUAGGUUUACCCACGAAUGGAAGUGUGGGGAGAUAGUGAUAAGCUGUCGGCUAGAAUCCGACACCAAGUGAAACACCGAAGUACGAAAGGGGUGACCUGAGUAGGAAGUAGCUGAUACCGAUUUCCAAGAAAAGCUGCUAGCUUAAGCACAAUCGGCCCGUACCGAGAACGGACACACGUGGUCAAGGAGAGUAUCCUAAGGUGAGCGAGAUAACUGUUGUUAAGGAACUCUGCAAAAUUACUUCGUAAGUUAGCGAGAAGAAGUGCUCCGUAAAAGGAGCCGCAGUGAAGAGGCCCAAGUAACUGUUUACCAAAAACACAGCUCUAUGCUAAGUCGUAAGACGAUGUAUAUGGGGUGAAGCCUGCCCGGUGCCGGAAGGUUAAUAGGAGAGGUGAAAGCUUUGAAUUGAAGCCCCGGUGAACGGCGGCCGUAACUAUAACGGUCCUAAGGUAGCGAAAUUCCUUGUCGGGUAAG